AAUUGCUAAUACCUUGCUGUUUUUUAGAGCUCUUGUGAAGAAACAGGGCCUGAAUGUGUCAAGGUGGGAGUGCAACACACUUCCACAUCCCCUACAACCUGACUCCAGCUCUUGCGGUGUGUUUGCCAUAAACGUAUUAAAAAUGUACUCCUAUAUUCACUUGAGAUACAUGUUGGGCUAUAUGUGUUUUGUGUUUGUACUUCAGUUUGAAGAGAAAAUACUUGAUGGACAACAUCCUGUUUUUCCUGCCGGACGUAAGGAUGUGGAAAUGCUACGUUGGCAGAUUGCAGUCACUGUGCUGGAAGCAUCAGAUGACUUGACAGAUAUCUGCUGCAUCUGUGGACAGAAAGACGAUCCCAAAGAGAAGAACAGCAUCAUUUGGAUAUCCUGUGAUGUGUGCUUGAGGUGGUUUCACCAUGUUUGCUGUGGAUGUCCAAACACAUCAGCAGCUUUUAUUUGUAAGGCCUGUUGAGGGAAGAUGACUUGUUGAAGUUUUUCACAACUCUGCAAUUUGUUCAGUGUUUAUUUACAGGUGGAAUUACACCAAUUGUUGUUAUACUAUUAUUUAUUUUAGAUUUUAAAAAUAAGCACAUUGUAUUUAUGUUGAAUACUUAUCUUAAUUGAAUGACCUAUGUUUAAACAACAUGUUCUUGAAAGUUUGACAGUAUCUUUUAAUUUUUAAGCCUAAAAACGAUUUUCCCUGUGGUGUUUUGUAAUGAGGUAUCUGUAAAUUUGUCUAGUUUUAAUUUUUGUCCAGCCAAUAUGU